GACGUAGGGCGCGAGCGUUGUCCGGAUUUAUUGGGCGUAAAGCGCUCGUAGGCGGCUCAUUGCGUCAACCGUGAAAACUUGUGGCUCAACUACAAGCUUGCGGUUGAUACGGGUGGGCUGGAGUUCGGUAGGGGAGACUGGAAUUCCUGGUGUAGCGGUGAAAUGCGCAGAUAUCAGGAGGAACACCGAUGGCGAAGGCAGGUCUCUGGGCCACUACUGACGCUGAGAAGCGAAAGCAUGGGGAGCGAACAGG
rnacentral:rRNA from 1 species